rnacentral:rRNA from 1 species
GAUGAACGCUGGCGGCGUGCCUAAUACAUGCAAGUCGAGCGAACGGACGAGAAGCUUGCUUCUCUGAUGUUAGCGGCGGACGGGUGAGUAACACGUGGAUAACCUACCUAUAAGACUGGGAUAACUUCGGGAAACCGGAGCUAAUACCGGAUAAUAUUUUGAACCGCAUGGUUCAAAAGUGAAAGACGGUCUUGCUGUCACUUAUAGAUGGAUCCGCGCUGCAUUAGCUAGUUGGUAAGGUAACGGCUUACCAAGGCAACGAUGCAUAGCCGACCUGAGAGGGUGAUCGGCCACACUGGAACUGAGCCACGGUCCAGACUCCUACGGGAGGCAGCAGUAGGGAAUCUUCCGCAAUGGGCGAAAGUCUGACGGAGCAACGCCGCGUGAGUGAUGAAGGUCUUCGGAUCGUAAAACUCUGUUAUUAGGGAAGAACAUAUGUGUAAGUAACUGUGCACAUCUUGACGGUACCUAAUCAGAAAGCCACGGCUAACUACGUG